CCACCCCAGCCAGAGAACCGAUGGUAAUGCCAGCUAUAGCGCCGGGUGAAAGCCCUUCUGGUGGAACCUCUCCCACAUCCACGGUGGUUUCGCUGGUUUCUGGGGCUCCAGUUUGUCCAGUUGAAGGUAGGGCGGACUGACCAGUUGUGGCAGCGGCGGGUUUAUCAGUCGGGCCAUUUGUAGAAAGUGGGGCAGUUGGCCUCUCUGCUGUCAUACCUGAUGUCACAUCUGAUGGCGUUUCUCCCGUCACAGGUGAUGAGACAUGUGGGCUAUUCGUUGACUGAUCUUGACACAAAGCUACUGCGCCAAGGAAGCAAAGAGCCAGUAUGGUACGUUUCAGUUGCAUUGUCGCAGAGUUAUGUAUCAGUGCCGCAAAAACAGGGGGGGAAUCUGCUUUUCUGGAAAACAAAAGCACAAACACACAGACAUUGUUCAUAUCUGCUCACUUGUAAUAUUUUUUCUGGUUCCUAUCUGCAACAUUUGACCUUAUCCUCAGUCGCAAAAAGGAAAAUGUCCUCAGUCUGCAUACUACGUUAAUUAUACCCACUUCUGGCUGUCAGCCACUAUUGGCUGACCCAGAUUUAUCCUAUAUGUAAAACAUGCAAAACACAUCAGAGUACAUUGUAUCACAUAUGCCUUGGGAAUAGUAAGAGCAAAGUUCAUUCUAUGUAAAAAAUAAACAAAUUUUGGUCAUAUUAGUGCUGAUCUCAUAUUUCCUAUUUACCACGUAUUUCACUGUUCCUGACAAAUAUAAGAGACCACACACAUUUGAUUUAAUAUCUGCAUACAAUUUCCAUGCAAAUGUCUUUGUUGUCAUUAGAGAGAGAACUUGAAAGACAAUGUACACAGAUGUGCACAGAUAAAUCAGCGCUGCAUACAAAUGUUUGUGUACAACUCAAUACUGAUCUCAGAAAACUAGAAGAGGAGCUGAAGCUGCGUUACUCACCUGAGCGGAUGUCAAAGAGGACUUUCUUCUUUCAAAAGACCCGGUAGAUAUUCUCUGACACCUGCUUUUAUGACUCCUAUAUCACACCACCCCAUCUGUCUAGCCCUCCCAUCUCUAUGUGUGUGUGUUUGUGCAGUAAUACAUUACCACAGUUCAAUCAGGAACACAACGCAUUUAUUGAUUUGAUAGGUUUGUUAAUGCUAACCACGGCACUAUAUUAGUUUUUUUAUGGCUCAGUCACAUUCAUCAGACUUUGGUCGGUACAUUUACUCUGCCUGUAGGCCUGAGAGUGUGCAAAGUGUAGUGGCAGCAACCUGAUGACCAUCCUUUCUUGUCCUGUGAAUGAGUAGCCUAUUACACUUUUUCAACUUAAACGGCAUGUCUUUAACAGGAUGUCGAUCAUGACAGGUCUAUUAAAGCACUCUAUCUUGGUCACAGCCAAUUCCUGAACAUGUCAGAUAUACAAUAAGGAGAUGUAGUACGUGCAUACAUCGACAAUUCAGACUGUCUUUGUAAAAAAUUAUUCACGCAGCAUUCGUCAUUUUCCUGAAACAACAUUGGUUUACCUGGUACCACUGGGCUGAAUUCUUUGUUAAAUGCAAACCACAAAAGAACUUGGGCAUGUCAACAGCCAACAUUGGUUCAAUGACGACACUCCGGCAAUAAUCUUAACCAAGUAGUUUCUGCCUGAACCAAAGCAAACCUUAAGAGAUGAGAAAACGGUCCACCACCAGGGGCAGCUCAUGAAUUAAAAAAAAAGAAAGAAAAAGUAAAGCUGCUAAUAACAUACUUAAAUAUGUGAAUAAACUGUUCACGUCACAUACAAGAUCUUAGGUAAAGGAAACACUUACUGGGUGAAUUGCUGUCUUCUUCCAGUUGUUUGCUAUGUUUCCCUCCUUGUGGCCCUUGAUAGCUAUGUCAGUAAAGAUUGGGGGGGGUGGUCCCUCAGUUCACUGCUUGGUGAGCUGUCCAGCAGUCCGUAGCCAAAAACACACGGUCGCCAUAGCACUAGCAUGUCAUUUACAUGGAUACAGUGUGGAAAACUCUUAGCUGCCAAACUUUUCCCAGGAACCAACCUGCCAGAACCAAAAAAAACAAAAAAAAAAUCCCCUGUAGCCCAAAGAUUAUUGUCCUUGCUUGACAGCCCAUACAAAAAGAAACUGAUGACAUGUAUGUAUAUAAACUGUAAAACCAUAAAUAAAAAAAACAUCGUA
ensembl:lncRNA